rnacentral:rRNA from 1 species
GAUGAACGCUGGCGGCGUGCCUAAUACAUGCAAGUCGAGCGAACGGACGAGAAGCUUGCUUCUCUGAUGUUAGCGGCGGACGGGUGAGUAACACGUGGAUAACCUACCUAUAAGACUGGUAUAACUUCGGGAAACCGUAGCUAAUACCGUAUAAUAUUUUGAUCCGCAUGGUUCAAAAGUGAAAGACGGUCUUGCUGUCACUUAUAGAUGGAUCCGCGCUGCAUUAGCUAGUUGGUAAGGUAACGGCUUACCAAGGCAACGAUGCGUAGCCGACCUGAGAGAGUGAUCGGCCACACUGGAACUGAGACACGGUCCAGACUCCUACGGGAGGCAGCAGUAGGGAAUCGUCCGCAAUGGGCGAAAGCCUGACGGAGCAACGCCGAGUGAGUGAUGAAGGUCUUCGGAUCGUAAAACUCUGUUAUUAGGGAAGAACAUAUGUGUAAGUAACUGUGCACAUCUUGACGGUACCUAAUCAGAAAGCCACGGCUAACUACGUG